CAUCGGAACUCUGCAGUUAAGCGCACUUGGGCUAGAGUGGUACUGGGAUGGGUGACCUCCUAGGAAGUUUUAGUGUUGCACCCU
rnacentral:rRNA from 1 species